AUGGCUAAGUUUUUUUGGAGCAGCUCCAUCGACAAAAAUGCUUUACAUUGGGUGUCAUGGAAGAAUUUGGCUACACCAAAGUGCCAAGGAGGUAUGGGGUUUCGCGACCUACAACAGUUUAACAUUGCGCUACUAGGGAAGCAUGGGUGGCGGUUCAUGACGAACCCUGACUCUUUGUGCGCAAGGGUAAUGAAAGGCCGCUAUUUUCCUGAUACAGAUUUUUUGCAUGCCAAUGUUUCCAAAUCAGCAUCUGCUACUUGGCGAGCUAUCAUUACUGGCAGGAAAGCUUUACAGGCGGGACUUGUUAAGAGAGUUGGAGAUGGGAGCUCUAUUGAUGUCUGGAUGGACAAGUGGAUUCCGGGAACCAUCUCCGUGAAACCUUUAUUCAGACCUCCGAGCACUAAUAUUCAGAGAGUCUCGGAUCUUAUUGACACCGAGAACUGGUCUUGGAAACAGGACCUUAUAAGGACAACUUUUAUCGCUCCAGAUGCAGAUGCUAUUCUUAACAUACCCAUCAGGAGGGGAGGAGGACAAGAUUUCUUUGCUUGGGCCUUUGAACGAUCAGGCAACUACACUAUUAAGUCAGCGUACUGUGCUCUAAUGACUCAUAACGAGCGUCUAGCUCUAGAAGAAGGGACGGCUACAGGUGCCUCAACGGAUGAUAAACAGAUGUGGACAGCCUUAUGGAAACUCAAAGUGAUCCCAAAGGUUCAGGUGUUUUGGUGGAGGGUGUUGAGGGGGAUUCUACCUGAUGAAUGUACCCUCAAGCACCGCCACAUUUCAGUUCUUGACACUUGUAAAGUGUGCAUGGCAAGACAGGAGGAUCUCAUGCAUGCGUUAAUACAAUGCUCCCAUGCACGACGUUUCUGGAGCGAAGCUUGUGCUUGGUUUGAUCUGAGACUCCCUUGA
rnacentral:rRNA from 1 species